GAUCCCUAGCUGGUCUGAGAGGAUGACCAGCCACACUGGAACUGAGACACGGUCCAGACUCCUACGGGAGGCAGCAGUGGGGAAUAUUGCACAAUGGGCGCAAGCCUGAUGCAGCCAUGCCGCGUGUAUGAAGAAGGCCUUCGGGUUGUAAAGUACUUUCAGCGGGGAGGAAGGUGCUGUGGUUAAUAACCGCAGCAAUUGACGUUACCCGCAGAAGAAGCACCGGCUAACUCCGUGCCAGCAGCCGCGGUAAUACGGAGGGUGCAAGCGUUAAUCGGAAUUACUGGGCGUAAAGCGCACGCAGGCGGUCUGUCAAGUCGGAUGUGAAAUCCCCGGGCUCAACCUGGGAACUG
rnacentral:rRNA from 1 species